CGGGCCUGGUAGCAAUAUCAGGUCAGUGGCGUAAGGGUGAGUAAGGCGACGGCAACCAACCCCAUGGUUGGGCAUAGCCGCGGGAAACUGCGGGUAAUUCCCAGCGAUGUUCGUGCCGGGCAUCCGGCGUGAACCAAAGUUGCGGCGCCGUGGGACGGGCCGUCGUGGUAUUAGGUAGUUGGCGGGGUAAUGGCCCACCAAGCCUCUGAUGCCUACCGGGCGUGCGAGCGUGGCCCGGCACACUGGGACUGAGACACUGCCCAGACUCCUACGGGAGGCUGCAGUCGAGAAUCUUCGGCAAUGGGCGCAAGCCUGACCGAGCGACGCCGCGUGGAGGAUGAAGGCCUUCGGGUUGUAAACUCCUGUCGAGGGGGAGGAAGGCGCAAGCUUGACCUAUCCCUGGAGGAAGCACGGGCUAAGUUCGUGCCAGCAGCCGCGGUAAGACGAACCGUGCGAACGUUAUUCGGAAUCACUGGGCUUAAAGCGCGUGUAGGCGGAUGGGGACGUCGGUUGCUGAAAUCCCCCGGCUCAACCGGGGAACGGGCACCGAAACGCCCCGUCUGGAGGGACGUAGGGGGACCUGGAACUUCCGGUGGAGCGGUGAAAUGCGUUGAGAUCGGAAGGAACGCCCGUGGCGAAAGCGAGGUCCUGGACGUUUUCUGACGCUGAGACGCGAAAGCUAGGGUAGCGAACGGGAUUAGAUACCCCGGUAGUCCUAGCUGUAAACGAUGGGCACUGGGUAGAGGGCUCGCCGAUGGGCUCUCUG
rnacentral:rRNA from 1 species